UACGGAGGGGGCCAGCGUUGUUCGGAAUUAUUGGGCGUAAAGGGCGCGUAGGCGGCGGAGUAAGUCUGGCGUGAAAUCCCUCGGCCCAACCGGGGAACUGCGCUUGAAACUGCUCAGCUCGAGUCCGGGAGAGGGUAGCGGAAUUCCCAGUGUAGCGGUGAAAUGCGUAGAUAUUGGGAGGAACACCGGUGGCGAAGGCGGCUACCUGGACCGGUACUGACGCUGAGGCGCGAAAGCUAGGGGAGCAAACAGG
rnacentral:rRNA from 1 species